rnacentral:rRNA from 1 species
GAUGAACGCUGCCGCCUUGCCUAUACAUGCAAAUCCAGCGAACAGAAGAGGAGCCUUCCUCCUCUACGGUUACCGCCGACCGGGGGGGUACACCUUGAUUAACCUCCCUUAAGACCGGGGUUAACUUCGGAAACCCGGGCCUAUUACGGGAUAUUAUUUUAACCGCAUGGGUUAAUUGGUAAAGGAGGGUUUGCCGUUCACUUAUGAAUGAUUCCGCGCCGCAUUAGCUAGUUGGUAAGGUAACGGCUUACCAAGGCGACGAUGCGUAGCCGACCUGAGAGGGUGAUCGGCCACACUGGAACUGAGACACGGUCCAGACUCCUACGGGAGGCAGCAGUAGGGAAUCUUCCGCAAUGGGCGAAAGCCUGACGGAGCAACGCCGCGUGAGUGAUGAAGGUCUUCGGAUCGUAAAACUCUGUUAUUAGGGAAGAACAAAUGUGUAAGUAACUAUGCACGUCUUGACGGUACCUAAUCAGAAAGCCACGGCUAACUACGUG